CGGGAGGCAGCAGUUAGGAAUCUUCCGCAAUGGGCGAAAGCCUGACGGAGCGACACCGCGUGGAGGACGAAGGCCUUCGGGUUGUAAACUCCUUUUCUAGGGGAAGAAUAAGGCGGGGAGGAAAUGUCCCGCCGAUGACAGUACCCUAGGAACAAGCCACGGCUAACUCUGUGCCAGCAGCCGCGGUAAGACAGAGGUGGCGAGCGUUACCCGGAUUCACUGGGCGUAAAGGGCGUGUAGGCGGUUGGGUGUGUCGACUGUGAAAGCCCCCUGCUCAACGGGGGGAGGCCAGUCGAAACUGCCCGACUCGAGGGCCGGAGGGGGAAGCGGAACUACCAGAGUAGCGGUGAAAUGCGUAGAUACUGGUAGGAACCCCGAUAGCGAAGGCAGCUUCCUGGCCGGUUCCUGACGCUGAGGCGCGAAAGCGUGGGGAGCGAACCGGAUUAGAUACCCGGGUAGUCCACGCCCUAAAC
rnacentral:rRNA from 1 species